GGUGGCUCACUGGUAGAGUGUUUGCUUCGCAUGCAUAAGGCCCUGGGUUCGAUUCCUCAGCACCA
rnacentral:tRNA from 1 species